CCUACGGGAGGCAGCAGUGGGGAAUAUUGGACAAUGGGGGGAACCCUGAUCCAGCGACGCCGCGUGAGUGAAGAAGUAUUUCGGUAUGUAAAGCUCUAUCAGCAGGGAAGAAAGCAAUGACGGUACCUGACUACGAAGCCCCGGCUAACUACGUGCCCGCAGCCGCGGUAAUACGUAGGGGGCAAGCGUUAUCCGGAUUUACUGGGUGUAAAGGGAGCGUAGACGGCGAUGCAAGUCUGAAGUGAAAGGCGGGGGCCCAACCCCCGGACUGCUUUGGAAACUGUAUGGCUGGAGUGCAGGAGAGGGAAGUGGAAUUCCUAGUGUAGCGGUGAAAUGCGUAGAUAUUAGGAGGAACACCAGUGGCGAAGGCGGCUUACUGGACUGUAACUGACGUUGAGGCUCGAAAGCGUGGGGAGCAAACAGGAUUAGAUACCCGAGUAGUC
rnacentral:rRNA from 1 species